CAGCCGCCACGGGAACACGAAGGGGGCUAGCGUUGCUCGGAAUGACUGGGCGUAAAGGGCGCGUAGGCGGCGAUCAAAGUCAGGCGUGAAAUUCCUGGGCUCAACCUGGGGACUGCGCUUGAUACUUGGUUGCUUGAGUGGGGAAGAGGGUCGUGGAAUUCCCAGUGUAGAGGUGAAAUUCGUAGAUAUUGGGAAGAACACCGGUGGCGAAGGCGGCGACCUGGUCCUUGACUGACGCUGAGGCGCGAAAGCGUGGGGAGCAAACAGGAUUAGAUACCCCCGUAGUCCCUGUCUCUUAUAA
rnacentral:rRNA from 1 species